rnacentral:rRNA from 1 species
GCAAGUCGAGGGGUAACAGAGGUAGCUUGCUACUUGCUGACGACCGGCGCACGGGUGCGUAACGCGUAUAGAAUCUACCUUAUACUGGGGGAUAGCCUUUGGAACGAAGAUUAACACCCCAUAGCACCUAUUUUUGGCAUCAUUAAUAGGUUAAAACUCCGGUGGUAUAAGAUGACUAUGCGUUCUAUUAGUUAGUUGGUAAGGUAACGGCUUACCAUGGCGACGAUAGGUAGGGGUCCUGAGAGGGAGAUC